CUUGUCCCCUAAAUAGGGACNGGAAUGAACGGCUAAAUGAGGACAAAGCUGUCUCUUACGGCCUAGCCAAUGAAAUUGAUCCUCCAGUACAAAAGCUGGAAUAAACUCAUAAGACGAGAAGACCCUGUGGAGCUUUAAAACCAAGAUCAUUAAACUAUGCUCCUUGGAUUUUUAGUUGGGGCGACUUUGGAGCAAAAAAAACCCUCCAAAACAUAAAUUUAAUUAUUUAGACCAACACACCAAGAAAAUUAUAUUAGACCCAGCAGUAUUUUUUUACUGUCUGACCAAUGAACCAAGUUACCCCAGGGAUAACAGCGCUAUCCUCUUCUAGAGUCCCUAUCGACAAGAGGGUUU
rnacentral:rRNA from 1 species